CUGGUGGCACGGAAGGUGCAAUUGACCAUUUGGUUAACAUAUACAAAAAUGUGGUUCACAAAACUGGGGGUUACCUUACAGAAAGUGGUUAUGUCAAUCUGCAAAGAGUACAGAUGAUCAUGUUAGCAGUUGGUGAAGUUGAGGAUAGCAUUUUUAAAAAGAGAAAGGAUGAUGAGGACAGUUUUAGAAGACGACAGAAAGAAAAGAGAAAGAGAAUGAAGGUGAGUUUUAAUUAAUUUCAUCAGAUUGGCAAUAACAUACAUUUACAAUUUGGGAGGAAGAUAGCUUUUUAUUCCUUAUCCAGUAGUUUGUUAGGGACGUAAUGUCUACCCAGCUGCCUCUUACCUGGAGAAAGAAUGCUGGUGUCAGUUUUAAAGAAGUCCUUUCUAAGCUCUAGAGUCUGAGGGGAUACACUUGAUGGGCCAGAGGGGCCGGGUAGCACUUAGCUAUUUGAAUUUUUUCCGGUAAUUGGGUAUUGUUUUUGUAAUAAAAAUAGUUAGCUCUUUGUAUCUUCUUGAAAGUUACUACACUCUGUCUAUAUCCUUGUCAGGUUACUCUUCCUAGAACA